UUUUUUCAGGUGACGCGGAUGAGAUUGGUUGGGACGCAGCGUGAGGACGUAGCUAGUGGGCGGUCAUAGAGGUCUCGAUCUAUGGUAUAUGUUCUGGAUUACUUCAUACAUAGUAUUAGACAUAUAUGUGAUAGUAUAGUUCACCCCUACACCUGUUAGUAGAUGAUACGUGUGGAUCAGUUGAUACGUUUUACUUGCGGGUUUUUGGUUGAUGUAUUUAUGAGUUUUGGAUAUUCAUGGUUUUUGAAUUUUCGUGGCUUUUAAACA
rnacentral:lncRNA from 1 species